CCUACGGGCGGCUGCAGUGGGGAAUAUUGGACAAUGGGCGAAAGCCUGAUCCAGCCAUGCCGCGUGUGUGAAGAAGGCCUUCGGGUUGUAAAGCACUUUCAGUGGGGAAGAAAGCCUUGGGGCUAAUACCCUCGAGGAAGGACAUCACCCACAGAAGAAGCACCGGCUAACUCCGUGCCAGCAGCCGCGGUAAUACGGAGGGUGCGAGCGUUAAUCGGAAUUACUGGGCGUAAAGCGCGCGUAGGCGGUCUGAUAAGCCGGUUGUGAAAGCCCCGGGCUCAACCUGGGAACGGCAUCCGGAACUGUCAGGCUAGAGUGCAGGAGAGGGAGAUAGAAUUCCCGGUGUAGCGGUGAAAUGCGUAGAGAUCGGGAGGAAUACCAGUGGCGAAGGCGGCCUUCUGGACUGACACUGACGCUGAGGUGCGAAAGCGUGGGUAGCAAACAGGAUUAGAUACCCGGGUAGUC
rnacentral:rRNA from 1 species